CAGAACUGGAGUUGGAGGCGGUGUGGCAGCAAGAGAAGGAGCUGAAGAACAGCGCACCCACCAGGAAUUGCUUAUUGGGCAAAACCAUCUCUCAGAACCCAAAAUUCAAGAAUGCAAACCCGAUGUUAGACUACUGUGAAAAGCCACAUGCUUCAUCAUGUCCAAAGAACAAAUGAUUUCCUCACAAAAAAUGGAGUGAGAAAAGAUCCACCUUGGGGACUUCACUUCGGACCGUAAUGGAAGAUCCAUCUAGAGAAAUUAGACUCAAGAGAAUAAGAUGUGAAGAGAUGGAUGGCGCACCUCUCAGCAUCAAAAUUAAAACCUCUACACGGCAGACCCACCUUAAAGGAGGCAGCAAAGAAUAUUUUGUCUAAUAAAACCAAGGGAGAUUUUUAUCUAGAA